rnacentral:rRNA from 1 species
UACGUAGGGGGCAAGCGUUGUCCGGAAUCAUUGGGCGUAAAGGGCGCGUAGGCGGCUCCGCGAGUCGGGGGUGAAAUCGUUCAGCUUAACUGGACAAGGGCCUCCGAGACCGCGGGACUCGAGGGGGAUAGGGGUGCGCGGAACUUCCGGUGGAGCGGUGAAAUGCGUAGAUAUCGGAAGGAACGCCGGUGGCGAAAGCGGCGCACUGGAUCCCUACUGACGCUGAGGCGCGAAAGCCAGGGGAGCAAACGGG